GGCUAAUUGACACCUGCUUUACACUUUGGUUCUUGUUUGAAGGUUUGUGGUGGGAGUUUGUGGGCUAGGGAUUUCCCCUUUGAAAGAGGAAGGAGCUGCUGCCAUGGCAACUCCCCCAAAAGAGUUGGCAGAACCUCAUGUGCCUCCUGGGACUUUACCUCGUUUUGAUCCAGUGUCACCAGACCUCAGUGGGACCAGUGGUAAUGUCAGGCUUAAUGUUCGGCUAGCUCGCCUUCAGCUAGAAGCCCAUGAAACGGAAAUGGUGCACAUAGCUGAGUUUGAUCUCAAACUUGAGAUUCGAAAGCUGGAAAUUGAAGCUGAGAAGGAGAUCAAAUUAAAACAGCUAGAAGUGGAAGCCAUGAGGCUUUCGCAAAACAAGUCAUUAGCAGGUUCAUCUGUUCCUUCUGAAUCUCUGGCGAUCCUGCCAGGUAAAAGCAAGUUUGAUGUCAGCAAAAAUAUUGCUUUGGUGCCACCAUUUAGAGAGUCAGACGUUGAUUCCUUCUUCAAUGCCUUUGAAAGGAUUGCAACAGCACUAGAAUGACCAAAGGAGUUGUGGGCGGUGCUACUGCAGUGCAAGCUAAUGGGUAAAGCACAAGAGGCUGUAUCAUCUCUGUCGACAUGGAUUAUGAUGUACUGAAACAGUCCAUAUUGCAUGCUUAUAAGCUUGUGCCGGAGGCCUACAGGCAAAAGUUUAGGAAUCAUAAGAAGUCUAGUGGUCAAACUUGUGUAGAGUUUUAAUUGAUAAAUGGUGUGCUGCUAAUGAAGUCAAAGGAAACUUUGAAUCCCUUCGCCAGUUAAUCUUA